UACGUAGGGGGCUAGCGUUGUCCGGAUUUAUUGGGCGUAAAGAGCGUGUAGGCGGCCAGGUAGGUCUGGUGUGAAAACUCGAGGCUUAACCUCGAGAUGUCAUCGGAAACCAUCUGGCUAGAGUCCGGAAGAGGAGAGUGGAAUUCCUGGUGUAGCGGUGGAAUGCGCAGAUAUCAGGGAGAACACCAAUGGCGAAAGCAGCUCUCUGGGACGGUACUGACGCUGAGACGCGAAAGCGUGGGGAGCGAACAGG
rnacentral:rRNA from 1 species